UGGAAACUUACUAAGUGAUCACUUUCAAAUUCAGAGAAACCCUGGAAUUAACAAAAAUGGGCAAUCCUGAGCCAAAUCCUGUUUUCCGAAAACAAACAAAGGUUCAGAAAAAAAAGGAUAGGUGCAGAGACUCAAUGGAAGCUAUUCUAACAAAUGGAGUUAAAUGCGUUGGUAGAGGAAUCUUUACAUCGAAACUUCAGAAAGAAAAAGAAUGAAGUGAAGGAUAAACGUAUAUACAUACGUAUUGAAUACUAUAUCAAAUGAUUAAUGAUGACCCGAAUCCGUAUUUUUUCUAUAAAAAAUGGAAGAGUUGGUGUGAAUCGAUUCUACAUUGAAGAAAGAAUCGAAUAUUCAUUGAUCAAAUCAUUCACUCCAUAGUCUGAUAGAUCUUUUGAAGAACUGAUUAAUCGGACGAGAAUAAAGAUAGAGUCCCGUUCUACAUGUCAAUACCGGCAACAAUGAAAUUUAUAGUAAGAGGAAAAUCCGUCGACUUUAAAAAUCGUGAGGGUUCAAGUCCCUCUAUCCCCAAAAAGACUAUUUCACUCCCCAACUAUUUAUCCGACCCCC
rnacentral:precursor_RNA from 2 species